GACGAACGCUGGCGGCGUGCUUAACACAUGCAAGUCGAACGGAAAGGCCCUGCUUUUGUGGGGUGCUCGAGUGGCGAACGGGCGAGUAACACGUGAGUAACCUGCCCUUGACUUUGGGAUAACUUCAGGAAACUGGGGCUAAUACCGGAUAGGAGCUCCUGCUGCAUGGUGGGGGUUGGAAAGUUUCGGCGGUUGGGGAUGGACUCGCGGCUUAUCAGCUUGUUGGUGGGGUAGCGGCUUACCAAGGCUUUGACGGGUAGCCGGCCUGAGAGGGUGACCGGCCACAUUGGGACUGAGAUACGGCCCAGACUCCUACGGGAGGCAGCAGUGGGGAAUAUUGCACAAUGGGCGGAAGCCUGAUGCAGCAACGCCGCGUGCGGGAUGACGGCCUUCGGGUUGUAAACCGCCUUCGCCUGUGACGAAGCGUGAGUGACGGUAAUGGGUAAAGAAGCACCGGCUAACUACGUG
rnacentral:rRNA from 1 species